rnacentral:lncRNA from 1 species
UGCUGGGAUUACAGGCGUGAGCCACUGUGCCCAACCAGGUGUUCUUAAAUAUAAUUUUUUAUCUCCUUUCCUACCAAGAGGGGUUUUUAGAACUGUUUGCUUGGCAGGUGAAGAAUCUGCACGUUGUGGUUCUUUAUUACUGAAUGAGAAAAUACCAGACUUUACCUUAGCUUUAUUUGUUCCCCAGUUCAACGGAAUUUAACCUUAGAAUUUCCUAAAGAUGCUUUCUAAAAGUUUUUUAUUUCUCUAAGUGUCAUAGUACUGCAUUUAUGAAUCCCAAAUUGGCUUCCACUGUCUAUUUAAACUUGAUAUAAGAUACAGGAAGAUUAUUUUGUCACCACCCUCUUUCUAUUCCAAACACUAUUUACAUGAAGGAAACUUUAGUAAGAGAAGAUAUUUUGGAAAAGAUUUUGUAACCAACUUACACUUGUGUCUGUUUUUGUUUUUUUUGGUUUAAAUUCAAGGGGAGGCCAAGCGUGAUGGCUCAUGCCUGUAAUCCUAACACUUCGGGAGGCCAACACGGGUGGACCGCUUGAGCUCCGGAGUUCCAGAGGAGCCUGGGCAACAUGGUGAAACCCUGUCUCUACCAAAAAUACAAAAACAUUGCCCAGAUGUGGUGGCAUGCACCUGUGGUCCCAGCUAUUUGAGAAGCUAAGGUUGUAAAAGAAAAUCAACACUUAAGAUUUUACUAAGAGAUCAUUCAACUUCAAAUCUGAAGCACAAGAAGUCAGCAAAAUUAAAUGGCUAUCAUUGAUUUGAGAAUGGAUUUUCACUUACAUUUUAAAUUAAAUUGCUAACACUACAAAGUGUUUAAGGAAAACAUGAACAUUUCUGUUUUACUUCAGUUGUGAAGAGACUCUAAUUUCCAUCUCUGUUUAGAAAUUCCUAAAUGUGCAAAUAUAGGUUCUUUGCAAGCAGAACCACCAAGUAGUCCUUGGCACACAGAAUUUAUAAACCUAAAGAGAAUAUUGAAUGGAAAACUUAGAGAACAGUUGGAAUGGGAGAUACCAUUAUCCCAAGUCCAAUGGUUGGUUACCAAAUAGCUUUUCGAUUCUCUCCAAAUUAAGCUCACACCAACAGUUUUGUAUUGUGAGGCAGCUGGUUCUGUUGCUUUUCCUCCCCUGCUCUGCUCCUUCUCUGUCCUUCUGUAGCUGCAAGCCUCAGGGGUUGACCCACGCAGGCUGUGCUCACUGAUGUCCUUCUCUUGCUUUUGGUUGGAUUUCGUCAGCAGGUGAAGCCCAGGGAGCAAAAAGAGGGAGUUGCCAGAUUAUUUCUACCUCCACGCCCUCCCUGCCUGUCAAGGACUGAGUCCCAGGAAGAUGCCAGCUCCAGUGCUUUCCCGCUCUUGCCGUCUCAGGCCACUCUGGCUGGCCGCUGGGUCCCUCAACAUCCCCUGUUGGUUCCUUUAGCCCAGCCUACACCGCUGGAAAUAGGCCCUUUAUGAGAUUCUCUUCUAAAUCCUAGAAGAGUGUACCCUCCAUUUCCUGAAGAAUCCUGACAAGUAUGUAAACAUUACUUAAUAAUUGUUAGGUAAAAAUACUAUAAAUAUUAAAUUUAUAAGUAAAUAAAAAUAUUUAAUUUUACAUAAGACAAAGCUAAAAAUUUCAGUUUAUAAUUUUUAAACAUAGACAAUAAAUUUCCCAGAAAGAAAUUGCUGACUACCAACCAAAUUUUCAUUUUUAUUUUUUAAAUGUUGGAAAAAUUUUGUCAGAAAGAUUCUUAUCAACCAAUCAAAUUGUGUUAGCAGUUGUGUUAGUAGUCACAAGGAAAAUAAUCAGUCAUAUUAGUUUUCUUACUAUUGUUCAUAUUUUGUCUUUCAAAAAUAGGUGUAAUGUACAAAUACUUCUUAAUUAGAUAUGCUUAAAUAAAACAUUUCAUAUUGUAUUGAUUUGGGUAUAUUGUAGAAAAUAAAAAGUUCCUCUUCAAAGCUUCCCUUCUUGUUAAAGAAUAAAUCAUAAGUGUUAGAAUUAACAGUUUCUUUUAAAGACUAACUUUAUGCUAGACAUGCUCACAGACACGUAGUACAUUCUAUGUCCUCGUACUUUAACCAAGAUAUCUGUGCUAGACGUGCACACAGGCAUGUCUCAGCUCGCAGCCUAUGCCCUUUCCUUAUUUGGGAAUGUUUAUUCCUUAUUUGGAAAUGUUAUUACUUUUCUAAGUCCUUUCGUAAGCAACUUCAUUUUUUUUCCUUUGUUUUUCUAUUGCCUUUACCUGUUUAAAAAAGUUUUAAACUGUUAGCCAAUCGGGUUUUAGUUUAGAUUGUGAGGUCUGGCUCCAGCCAAUGGAGACAGGACACAGUAGCAGGGACAAACUGGGUAAGGGAUAAAAAUUGCUUCGCUCCAUUGUUCCGGGGUGCUCUCGCCAUUGUUCCAACUGCCAUAAACACCCUUUCUGCAGAAAGCAAAAAUGGCCUUGCUGAGAGAAUUAAAUUUAUGUUCGAGUGCUAUUUCUUUGUGGCACUGGGGAACAAGCAUUCUAUUUCUAAAUAAACAUUUUUACGUAUAACAGUACUGAAUAUAACCAUGGACUGUUUGCAAAUUAUAUUGGAAUCAUGUAGACACAGCUUUAAUAAUGGAUAAUAUAAUUAUUACUUUUUCUAGCCAAAAAUCAGGAGCAGACUAUGUAUACAAGUCUGGAAUGGAGGACUUUCCAUUCUAGAAGAAAGAGUGGCCAUUUUCAACUCUUCUUCCUUUUGAGACCUCACUAAAAUUAGAGGAACAGAAUUUAAAAAUACAUUACAUCUCCAUGAUAAAGAGAACAGGAAAGGAAAUAUCAACAGACAAGGGGAUUUGACAGAUAUUUUUGGAGGGAAGAAACGGUGGAGCAGAGGUAAUUAAGCCGAUUGGAGAGAGGCUGUCCUGCAGACCGAGUGAGACAAGGUCCUGGCACUGGAGAGGCUGCUGCCUGGAUCCCUCCCCCAACACAAGAAAUCAGGAAAUCACCACUCCUCUUGCCCCAGGCCAGAGACUAGGUUUCUGUAGACAUGGAAGGUAGAGGCUGCGGACCUGGACCCCAGACACAGGUGAGAGGAGAGGCUUUGCGCUAAAGAGAGAGAGAGAGAGAAAAGGAGGUGGGGAAGAAGAAAGGAAAGAAAGGAGGAAGAGAGAAGGCCAGGCGCGGUGGCUCACGUCUGUAAUCCCAGCACUUUGGGAGGCCGAGGCGGGCGGAUCACGAGGUCAGGAGAUCGAGACCAUCCUGGCUAACACGGUGAAACCCCGUCUCUACUAAAAACACAAAAAAUUAGCCGGGCGUGGUCGCGGGCGCCUGUAGUCCCAGCUACUCGGGAGGCUGAGGCAGGAGAACGGCGUGAACCCGGGAGGCAGAGCUUGCAGUGAGCCAAGAUCGGGCCACUGCACUCCACCCUGGGUGACAGAGCGAAACAACGUCUCAGAAAAAAAGAAAGAAAGAAAGGAGGAAGAGAGAAAAGGAGCGUGGAAAGAAAAGAAAAUUUCAGGAGCUUCUACAUUGGUUAUGCCAGCAGAAACAGUUAAGCCAUGGAAACUGAGUCACAUACACGCUGUUUUUCUUCUCUGGUGCAUGACCUUUGCUUCUGACCUUUGUGUUGAGAUGUUAUGAAUUAACCACCCUUCCUAUUCUUCAUUCAAACCUCAACUAAAUGACAUUGGAGAUAGAGACCCUUACCUCUUUACGAUGGAUGUUAAGUAACUCCCAUAGAGUAUAGUCAAUGGUGGCCAGCCAACUUGUGUGUGUGUGUUUUAUAUCUUAUAUUUAAAAAAUGAAAAAAAUGUUGUAAUUCUGGCCAGAUACGUGGCUCACAACUGCAAUCCCAGCACUUUGGGAGGCCAAGGUAGGCGGAUCACUUGAGGCCAGAAGUUCGAGACCAGCCUGGCCAACAGGGUAAAACUCUGUGUCUACUAAAAAUACAAAAAAUUAGCCAGGCGGGCAUGGUGGCGCACGCCUGUUAUCCCAGCUGCUCGGAUGACUGAGGCUUGAGAAUCCCUUGAACCUGGGAGGUGGAGUUUGCAGUGAGCCAAGAUCAUGCCACUGCCCUCCAGCCUGAGCAACAAAGCAAGACUUUGUCUCCGAAAAAAAAAGAGCAUGUUGUAAUUCUGUUCAGCACCCCUGUUUUUUGCUUAUAUGAAUGAUCUUCACCUUUCCCCGCACUGAGGAGUGAUGAUCACCAUUCUUUGGUGUCUGCUACCCUAACACUUGGCGCUUGAAUAAACUCUUUUAAGUGGAGCCUGAGCCUUUUGAUUAUUUUAGGUUGACAGGAGGAAGGGAGGAAGGGUGGGUUAAAAUUAAAUCUGCAUACUAAGCAAUAAUAUCCUUGCUGCUCUUCUUCAACUGUUUGUAGGUUAUUUCUGCUCUCAGGCUUCUGUUCUACCCCUAACUCUCCUGGCUACCCAAAGGCCGGAGGUUAUCUACUGGGGAAAUCUCAAAAGACUGUAGAAAAAAUGUCUCAAAUUCUGGUUUUGGGAGUCUUCCAAAAAAAAAUUUUUUUUAAUUUGGCUUGCCUCUUGAAUAUCCUAUAGAGAAGUCCCAAACUGACAAACCUGGGCUGUCCUCCCAGAUGCUCUACUGAGCUGUCAGUCUCUCCCUCUGGAAUGGGAAUAGAGCACCAAGCAUAACCUGUUAUUUGAAGAAAGGCUGCUACACUACACACGGACCCAAAUGAACAAAUAUCAGGAGAACAGAAGUUAGGGGAAACAGAAGUGAUGAAGAGAACAGAAUAAAAGUUUUAUUUUAAAAUUAUUAUUAUUAUUAUUAUUAUUAUUAUUAUUUGAGACCAAGUCUCACUGUGUCGCCCAGGCUGGAGUGCAAUGGCAUGAUCUUGGCUCACUGCAAACUCUGCCUUCUGGGUUCAAGCAAUUCUUGUGCCUCAGCCUCCCAAGUAGCUGGGAUUACAGUUACCCGCCACCAAGCCCAGCUAAUUUUUGUAUUUUUAGUAGAGAUGGGGUUUCACCAUGUUGGCCAGACUGGUCUCAAACUCCUGACCUCAAGUAAUCCACCUGCCUCAGCAUCCCAAAGCACUAGGAUUACAGGCAUGAGCCACCGCACCUGGCCAGAAUAAAACUUUUAAUAUCUUUUAUUAACACCGCACCCAGCCAGAAUAAAACUUCUAAAAUCUUUUAUUACUAUCAUCAGAUAAAAUAAGACAUUACAUUCAUGAAACAGAACAGGUAUUAGAAUAUAAGAGAGAAGAAAAUCCUCAAACAAAAUUGUGGCAGCUGAACUAAAAACAUCAAAUAAGGAUUGGAGUGUAAUAUUAAAGAAAUUUCCCAGGAAGCAGAACAAAAAGAAAGUAAAAUAGAAAAGGAUAAUAGAGCAAGUGCAAUUAAUUCAGAGAAUCAAUCCAGAAGGCCCUGAUACCUGACUGAAUAGGGUUCCAGAAAGAGGAACAGAGAAAAAGGAUGUGAAGAGUUGCAUUGAUAAUAGUACUACUAACACUAUUUUUUGUUCUUUGUCUUCAAGAAAACCUCUCAGAGUUGCAGUGUAUGAGUCUCUGGAUUGAAAGGGCUCAAUAGAUGCCCAGCAUAACGAUGAAGAGGACCCACAUCUAGACAUAUAUUGGCCUGAAAUUUUCAUGUAUUUGGGAUCAAGAGAAAAUCCUGAAAGCUUGUAAAUUAAUGCUGUUCAAUAUGGUGGUCAUUAGCCACGGCUGACUGUUCAGCACUGGAGAUGUGGCCACUCUGAAUGGAGAUGUGCUGUAAGUGUAAAAUAGACACUGAAUUUUGGUGGGCUCAGUAGAAAAAAAAAGAGUAAAAUGUCUCAUUAAUAUUUUUCAUUUUGAAAACAUGUUGAAAUGAUUUUGUAUAUAUAUAUUUUUUUUAAUUAAUUUUUUUUUUUUUGAGAUGGAGUCUCACUCUAUGGCCCAGGCUGGAGUGCAGUAGCGCAAUCUUGGCUCACUGCAACCUCCACCUCCCUGGUUCAAGCAAUUCUCCUGCCUCAGCCUCCUGAGUAGCUGGGACUGCAGGCAUGCGCCACUAUGCCCUGCUAAUUUUUGUAUUUUUAGUAGAGACGGAGUUUCACCAUAUUGGUCAGGCUGGUCUUGAACUCCUGACCUCGUGAUCUACCCACCUCGGCCUCCCAAAGUGCUGGGAUUACAGGCCUGAGCCACCACGCCUGGCCGAAAUAAUAUAUUUUUUAAACAUUGGGCUAAAUAUAACAUAUUAUUACAACUACUUCCAGUUGUUUCUUUUUAUUUUAAGGUGGCUCCUGGAAAAUUUUAGAUGACAUAGACGGUUUCUGUUCUGUGUCUGUUAGACGGUGCUCUGCAGAGAAGCAGACAGGUCAUGCAUAAGGACACUGAGGCCAGAAUGAUAUCUGACCUUCAGCAGCAGCUCUAGGAAACUGAAGAAAAAUGAUCCCCCUAUUCAGAGAGAAAUAGUUUUCAACCUUAGUAGUCUACAUUCUGGCAAACUUUCAGUCAACUGAAAGACAGUUAGAGACAUGCAAGCACACAAAAGUUUACCUUCUUUGCUGUCUCCUUGAACGUUCCUGAAGGAAGUACCCCAGGAAAUAAACUUGUAAACCAAUGGCAUGGAAGGCAUGGGAUUUAAAAGCAGGAUGUCCAGUAUAGGACUCGGAGCAAGUUGUGCAGCAGGUCCAGGAAGCAGACAAGCCCGUGCAGAACAGGAAGUCAGGGGGCUCAGUGGGAAGUCAUGGCACCAGUGGAUUUGCUGACAUAGGGAGUCUUCUGGCUCAUUGGAAGACACGUAUGUAGACAACAAAGUUAUUUUUUGAGAGGUGAUAAUUUAAGAAAAAAGUUGUACUCUUCCUGGCUCAUGUGAACAGUAUCUAUAUGACACAAAUAAUAAUGUGAACUCAAAGACUGUGUGGUAUGCUUACACCAGGGGAAUGGGGGAGGGAGAGCAAAGUGCACUUGAGUUAGAUAACAUCUGUCAAGACAGGGAGAAAAAAGAUAAUGUCUAAAAUAAAUAACAGCACAUGCAUACUCCUUAGGAAUUGGAAGGUAAAUGGCAGAAGAAAUGGCUUAACAAUUUGUACGUGGUUUCUUGUGACUUCUUAUGACUGUAUAAGACCAGGGAGCAAUAGGGAGGGGAGGCACAAGGGAUGCUAUUUUGUUUCUAUUACUAUUUGAUUUUGUAAAACUAUACACAUCAAUUAAAAUGAUAAAUAUUAUA